GGGUGGAUGAGAAAAAUAAAGAGGAAAAAAGGUGCAGGCCAUUCACACAGUGAAACCAUCUGUUUCUCUGAAGCCAUGUGUUUUGGACGAAUGACUCUCAAAAAGGCUCAUGAACUUCAGUCCCUCUCCUGUGAAAUAAAAUCCUACCAUCUUGGCACCCACUACUUCUUGGAUGCUUUUUGAAAAACAGAAGCCUUGCUCCGAGGGACAUUAGUGUCUGACAUCACCCUCACUGGUGACUACAAAUCUGCAAUCCUGGCAUGAAGAAGUGGAUAGAGCUACCUUCUAAGGUGACUAAGUCAUAAGGGCCAUGAAAGAAGUUUGAGG